rnacentral:rRNA from 1 species
GGACGAACGCUGGCGGCGUGCUUAACCCAUGCAAGUCGAACGGAAAGGCCCUGCUUUUGUGGGGUGCUCGAGUGGCGAACGGGUGAGUAACACGUGAGUAACCUGCCCUUGACUUUGGGAUAACUUCAGGAAACUGGGGCUAAUACCGGAUAGGAGCCCCUGCUGCAUGGUGGGGGUUGGAAAGUUUCGGCGGUUGGGGAUGGACUCGCGGCUUAUCAGCUUGUUGGUGGGGUAGUGGCUUACCAAGGCUUUGACGGGUAGCCGGCCUGAGAGGGUGACCGGCCACAUUGGGACUGAGAUACGGCCCAGACUCCUACGGGAGGCAGCAGUGGGGAAUAUUGCACAAUGGGCGGAAGCCUGAUGCAGCAACGCCGCGUGCGGGAUGACGGCCUUCGGGUUGUAAACCGCUUUCGCCUGUGACGAAGCGUGAGUGACGGUAAUGGGUAAAGAAGCACCGGCUAACUACGUG